GAUGGCAGCCGUGGAGGCGGGGGUGUUUUAAAAUGUACGUUUUAUCAUUCUCCAGGUAUAGUAAGACCAACAGAUCAGAAGACAACUAUCACUGAAAAAAUAAAUGGUCAAGAAGCAACAGUUAGAACCAGACAUGGAACAAUGAACUGGUUCAAAAUUGGGAAAGGAGUCCAUCAAGGCUGUAUAUUGUCACCUUGCUUAUUUAACUUAUAUGUAGAGUACAUCACGUGAAAUGCUGGACUGGAUGAAUCACAAGCUGGAAUCUUAGCAGUCUUAUGUAAAAGUGUGUAGUUCAGUAGAGUUAAGUAUUUCACAUAGUUUAGCAACAGGUUUCUGGAACUUCUUCCUCUUAUGAAAAUGAAAGUCUAUACUUGCCAAACUCUGUAAUUUUCCCUCUCCCCUCCUCUGUCCUCCCAGCACUUUCUACUUUGUUUCUAUGAUUUGGACUACUUUAGAUACUUCAUGCAGAGUACAUCAUGAGAAACGCUGGGCUGGAUGAAGCACAAGCUGGAAUCAAGACUGCCAGGAGAAACAUCAAUAACUUCAAAUAGGCAGAUGACAUCACCCUUAUGGCAGAAAGAGAAGAACUAAAGAGUCUCUUGAUGAAAGUGAAAGAAGAGAGUGAAAAAGUUGGCUUAAAACUCAGCAUUCAGAAAACUAAGAUCAUGGCAUCUAGUCCCAUCACUUCAUGGCAAAUAGAUGGGGAAACAAUGGAAACAGUGAGAGACUUUAUUUUCUUGGGCUCCAAAAUCACUGCAGAUGGUGACCGCAGCCAUGAAAUUAGAAGACAGCUGCUCCUUAGAAGAAAAGCUAUGACCAACCUAGAGAGCACAUCAAAAAGCAGACAAAAGUCCAUAUAGUCAAAGCUAUGAUUUUUCCAGUAGUCAUGUAUGGAUGUGGGAGUUGGACCAUAAAGAAGGCUGAACACUGAAGAACUGAUGAUUUUGAACUGUGGUGCUGGAGAAGACUCUUGAGAGUCUCUUGGACAGCCUCUGUCUUUCUGCCACUAGGGUGGUGUCAUCUGCAUACCAAGUUCCCUUGGUAACCAACAGAUGCUAUGACCUAGGGCUUAAUACAUCCGAGUUUGGUCACCACCUGUCAGGUGCCCCGUCUUGACUGGCACAGCCCCCUCACUUCCUCCAGGUCAUGCAGGUUCCCAGCUGGGGAGAAGCCAAGUCUCCACACAGAGAACAGAAUGUCCUCUAAUGAACUGAGGUCUGGUCAGGCCUCUUCUUACCCCUCCAACCUCACUUUCAUUUUCUUGAUGAGAGCUAUAACCAACCUCAGUUCAGUCCAGUUCAGUUGCUCAGUCGUGUCCGACUCCUUGCGACCCGACAGACUGCAGCACGUGAGGCUUCGCUGUCCAUCACCAACUUUCAGAGCUUGCUCAAACUCAUAUCCAUCAGACAGCAAACAAUGAGUCCCUUGGCCUGGAAGGAGAUCAAAACAGUCCACCCUAAAGGAGAUCAGUUUCGAAUAUUCAUUGGAAGGACUGAUGCUGGAGCUGAAUCUCCAAUACUUUGGCCACCUGAUGUGAAGAACUAACUCAUUGGUAAAGACCUUGAUGCUGCGAAAGAUUGAAGGCAGGAGGAGAAGGGGCUGACAGAGGAUGAGAUGGUUGGAUGGCAUCACUGACUGAAUGGACAUGAAUUUGAGCAGACUCCAGGAGAAGGACUGAUGCUUAAGCAGAAGCUCCAAUAUUUUGGCCACCUGAUGUGAAGAGCCAACUCAUUGGAAAAAACUCUGAUGCUGGGAAAGAUUGAAGGCAGGAGGAGAAGGGGACGACAGAGGAUGAGAUGGUUGGCUGGCAUCACUGACUCAAUGGACAUGAGUUUGAGCAGGCUCCAGGAGGUAAUGAAGGACAGGGAAGCCUGGCGUGCUGCAGCCCAUGGGGUUGCAAAGAAUCAGAUGUGGCCAAGCCAUUGAACAACAGCAACAGCAAAUACAGAUCCCAAAAGGAGGGGACCUGUCUCACCGUGGGGGCCACGUGGGGAGGAGACACCAGCGUCUGUCAGAGGCAGAGAGAGAGAGUAGUAAAUGUGGGCAGAAGUCUUUACUGUGGUUUCAGUGGGAGGAGAGGGCAAGGCAGGGUCGACAGGCUUAGGAGGGGCAAAUGUGAAUUAUCUCAUCGGGCUCUGGGGUGUAGGGGCCAUCUGGGGUUGUCUGGUCCUGGCGCUGGGGUGGUGGGGGCAGAGGAACAAUGGCCCAGAGUGUGAGAGCUUGAGAGAGGAGGUGGGGUGGGAUGUGGGCUCGGGACUCAUUGGUUUGCAUGUGAAAGACGUGCUUUGUAGGCUAGCCCUGGGAAAGGCAGUCUCGCUAGCAUUAGUAAGGCCCCAGAUGUUACAGAUCAGAAUAAAAAGACAAGCUUCAUUCAGUGUUUAGCCCAAGUUCCCUUGGUAACCAACAGAUGCUUUGACCAAGGGAGGAAUACACCCGAGUUUGGUCACCACCUGUCAGGUGCCGCGUCUUGACUGGCACAGACCCCUCGCUUCCUCCGGGUCCCACAGGUUCCCAGCUGGGGAGAAGCCUGGUCUCCACGCAGAGAACAGAACUUCCUCUGAUGAACUGAAAGGCCCCGUCUGGUCAGGCUCCCUCUUACCCCUGCAACCUCACUUCCCAUGGCUGCAUCCUUCCCCAGCCUCCCAGUCUGUUCAGGGUCAUCUCUUUGAAGCGGUCUCCCUGCUCUCUUUGCUUGACCUUCUCUCCUCUCUCAGCUCACAAGUCCUGUUGGAGAUCUGACCUUCAUGACCAUCCCCAUCUUCUGUGCAUUCCCUUCUCCUCCGUUUCUCUCUCAGGGCGGUUUCCUUUCUUCAUUUCCUAGUUCACGCCAGAUAUGACUUCGGAUCUUUGUUUAAUUGUACACUCACUGAUCGACCAUCUUUCCCAUUAGAACCUGGGAGGGCAGGUAUCAUGUCUGCCCUGUUUACUGUGGGUUCGCGAGGGCUUAGUAUCUAGCACAGUGCCUGCUACUGAUCUCGAGGAGACAGCAGUGACUGGUGACUUGAAGCAGGAUCUUAGUUCCCUGCCCAGGAAUCGAACCUGGGUAGCCUGGGUGAAAAGCAGGAAUCCUAGCUGCUAGACCAGCAAGGGCUAGAGGCUAGAAGCAAAGUUCCCCGGCUUUUGUCUUGCUUGAAAGCAAGAAUGUUUUAAGGAGGCAAAAACUGUAAAAAUACAGUUUUUUUCUACCAAAAAACUGUACAAAGUUUAUUAUUAGAGAUGCAGUACAGUAAGUGGGAGCGCACACAGAGAAACAAUUUUUUUAAAUUUAAGAUAAAGGCAGGCAGAGAUACAUACAUGGAGAGAAAGGGUGUGCGCUUCCUCCGGUAAAGAGGUUAAAUCAUUUAUAUAGGGCAUUUUUUCUGGGUCUUUGUUUACCUUUGGCCAAUUAUCUUGUUUCUUUUUCCAUACCUCACCUGCCCUGGGACUUUCCCCAACGUGCGUGCGCACCUUUUAGGCAAGAUAGAUUCCAGCACAGAGGCCUGUGGGAGGCUUGGCAUCACCUAUUAUGGGGUGGUGCCCCCUCCUUUUUAACCCCAAGGAGCCUUCUGUACAUGUGUGGUUGGGGAGGUCUCCUUGACCUCAAGAAUGAGAAAAUGUGGUCUCUUUAUCUUUUAUCUGGGCAAGACUCAGCUCAUCUCUGCCUUUGCCACUGUGUGUGUGCUAAGUCAGUUCAGUCGUGUCCUACUCUUUUGGGAUCCCGUGGACUGUAGCCUGCCAGGCUCCUCUGUCCAUGGGGAUUCUCCAGGUUGAGAGUACUGGAGUUGGGUUGACAUUUUCUUUUCCAACCCUUACCAUUAUUGUUCUCUUAAAGUAUCCACUGGAGACAAAGUCCAGCUAUUUACCCUGUUGUUGUUGUUAUUUCUAUCUGGAUGUGUAAACAGAAGGCUGAGUGUAAAUGUCUCACCUGGAGCCCAUCUGUGUCUUGCCUCAAGAAAUAUAAACAGGAGGCUAGUUGUAAAUGUCUAGCAUGGAGCCCAUCUAUCUUCUGCCUCAGUUACAAGUGCAGUGGGCCUUUGUCAAAUGAAUGAGAAAAUGAAUGCACAAGGGAGUUGACUUUUAGAAAAAGUUUUUUUUCAUUUAUUUUUAUUAGUUGGAGGCUAAUUACUUUACAAUAUUGUAGUGGUUUUUGCCAUGCAUGACAUGAAUCAGCCAUGGAUUUACAUGUGUUCCCCAUCCCGAUCCCCCCUCCCGCCUCCCUCCCCAUCCCAUCCCUCUGGGUCUUCCCAGGGCACCAGCCCUGAGCACUUGACUUUUUAGAAUACCUGUAGAACUGGAACUCGGCAUCUUCAGGGCAGGCUCCUCUCUUAUGUGAUGUUCUCAGCUGUCUCACCGUGUUGCCUUUCUUUUCCUCUCUUCCUAACUAGUUCUUCUAGUUUCUGCUUGUUCACAACUGACUUCAUGUGGCCAUUAUUACAGCUCUAGCUUCCCUAGAUUACAGCCUCCCCUCUUCGUAUUUCUUAGUUCAAGUUCCUAAGGAAGGGAGUCCUAUCACCCCAGUUCAUUUCUUUGUGCCAGGACAUGGCUGAGGUCACAGCCUGGUCUUUGGAUGGGUGACAGUUGGAUCAAGUGAUACUGCUGUCCAAAAGCUGGUCCUCAGAAUAAGGUCAUGAGGACAAAACACGCCGGCCGGGCCUGUGAGAGAGAGGGCUUGCUUUGGAAGGGGAUGUAGAUGGAGCAGGUAAGGAUCACUGGUUCCAGGUUAAGAGCCCAGAAAGGACUGGGCUAUUCUAGAAAAACUACACCUGAGUCUGGCACUAGAGAUGUUCCCCUGUCCCUUGUUU